GAGGCUUUGAAGUGUGGACGCCAGUCUGCAUGGAGCCGGCCUUGAAAUACCACCCUUUAAUGUUUGAUGUUCUAACGUUGGCCCCUGAUCGGGGUUGCGGACAGUGUCUGGUGGGUAGUUUGACUGGGGCGGUCUCCUCCUAAAGAGUAACGGAGGAGCACGAAGGUUGGCUAAUCCUGGUCGGACAUCAGGAGGUUAGUGCAAUGGCAUAAGCCAGCUUGACUGCGAGCGUGACGGCGCGAGCAGGUGCGAAAGCAGGUCAUAGUGAUCCGGUGGUUCUGAAUGGAAGGGCCAUCGCUCAACGGAUAAAAGGUACUCCGGGGAUAACAGGCUGAUACCGCCCAAGAGUUCAUAUCGACGGCGGUGUUUGGCACCUCGAUGUCGGCUCAUCACAUCCUGGGGCUGAAGUAGGUCCCAAGGGUAUGGCUGUUCGCCAUUUAAAGUGGUACGCGAGCUGGGUUUAGAACGUCGUGAGACAGUUCGGUCCCUAUCUGCCGUGGGCGCUGGAGAACUGAGGGGGGCUGCUCCUAGUACGAGAGGACCGGAGUGGACGCAUCACUGGUGUUCGGGUUGUCAUGCCAAUGGCACUGCCCGGUAGCUAAAUGCGGAAGAGAUAAGUGCUGAAAGCAUCUAAGCACGAAACUUGCCCCGAGAUGAGUUCUCCCUGAGACUUAGAGUCUCCUGAAGGAACGUUGAAGACGACGACGUUGAUAGGCCGGGUGUGUAAGCGCAGCGAUGCGUUGAGCUAACCGGUACUAAUGAACCGUGAGGCUUAACCUU
rnacentral:rRNA from 1 species